rnacentral:rRNA from 1 species
GACGAACGCUGGCGGCGUGCCUAAUACAUGCAAGUCGAACGCUUCUUUCCUCCCGAGUGCUUGCACUCAAUUGGAAAGAGGAGUGGCGGACGGGUGAGUAACACGUGGGUAACCUACCCAUCAGAGGGGGAUAACACUUGGAAACAGGUGCUAAUACCGCAUAACAGUUUAUGCCGCAUGGCAUAAGAGUGAAAGGCGCUUUCGGGUGUCGUUGAUGGAUGGACCCGCGGUGCAUUAGCUAGUUGGUGAGGUAACGGCUCACCAAGGCCACGAUGCAUAGCCGGCCUGAGAGGGUGAUCGGCCACACUGGGACUGAGACACGGCCCAGACUCCUACGGGAGGCAGCAGUAGGGAAUCUUCGGCAAUGGGCGAAAGUCUGACCGAGCAACGCCGCGUGAGUGAAGAAGGUUUUCGGAUCGUAAAACUCUGUUGUUAGAGAAGAACAAGGACGUUAGUAACUGAACGUCCCCUGACGGUAUCUAACCAGAAAGCCACGGCUAACUACGUG